rnacentral:lncRNA from 1 species
GUGCUAAUGUCCCUUUACCUAGGGAAACGAACAUUAUAUAUUCAAAGGCAAUAAAGUAGUCAUAUUUAAGGGCAUUAAUUCAUUACAAUAGUCGGGGCAAUCUACAUUUUUUAUUCUCAACAAUUUUAGGGAGGAUCUUCCUCCCUCUCCUCAAUGGAGAAGCCUCCACUGGUGUACAUAGGCAGAGAUACGGUCGCAGUAAGGUAUUGCAGUAAUACGAGUGAUUGAAAUUACCAUUUAAACCACCAAAGUUGUCCAAGCACAAUGAAAACAGUUCAUACUUCAAGUCACAAUGGGCGCAGCCAUCUUGAAUUCUGUCUCGGAAUUUCGCUCGGUCACCACUGAGUUCAACCGAGAUGGCGAGAUCGCCGUCCGAGGAAAAGGGGCGUGUUUGUGCGUGUCGCUAGGCAACGUCCUCGGACCUCCGAGACGGAUGGAUAUUAAAACGCACCAUUAGCCCAGAGGGAAAGGGGAAAAUGCGGACAUAGCGCGGGGCAAAUUAUUUGUAUACUUUUUGCGCAUGCACAUUUUUCAUAAUGCCUUACCUAAAUAUACAAAAUACGCAGUUUAUUAUAGCUUUAAAUAGCUACCUGACUGCUGGGCUGCUUAUUCCCAGACAUCUAAAGUCCCAUUCAAGUUAUUUCAGAGUAAAAUGAAUACAAGUGAGACAGACCUUACCUAUAUAUGUAUAUAUGAAUGUAGUAGUAGACACUCAAUGAAGUGCGCAUAGCAGCCGGUAGGGGGAACGCUACAUAAAGGAGGCAGGUCUCCCCGGUGCUCUGUCUCUCUGCGCUCAAUUGCAUGCAUGACUUCCGGUCCGAAGUGUUGUCUCGCGGCGGGUAAGGUGGUAAGCUGCUGCUUUGUUUCUGAGAUUCUAUUGAGGUUGUUGUUGACUCUUGGGUGCAUUUGCUUUGCUGCAGAGCGCUUGAGCUGCCGUGCCCCGCUAUUAGCGUGCGCUACUCCCGUUGGCCUGCGUUGAGGUCUGUGGUGGUGGCGGUGUCCCUUUUCUUCCUGUGUGCUGUGCUUCCCUGGGAUUUGUGUUUGUGUGUGAUUAUCAUUUACCCGGGUGAUUUAUAUUAUUUGGACCCUUCCCUUCGCUAGUCCCCCCAAUCACAUCAGCCUCCGCCUUAACAGUUUAUUGUGUGAUUAUUCCAUUGGAUUAAUUAAAUAAAAUAUAUAUUGUUAAAACUGUGAACCACGUCUCCUGCCAUUAGAGUCAACUUACUUGCGUGUCCUAAAUUAAAUCUUUGGGUGAAAGUCCCAAGGUGGCGUUGUCUGCAACCUCCUGAACACGGGCUGUGCUUGGUGUGGUCCCUAACGUGACCUCGCCCCACGCCCGCUUCUCCCCUCGCCCUGCCACAUAUAUAUAUUAGAGCUGUCAGUUAAACGCGUUAUUAACGGCGUUAACGCAAACCAAUUUUAACGGCGUUAAAUUUUUUAUCGCGCGAUUAACGCAAUUAUUAUAUAAAAAAAAAAAGAUUUUUUUUUUUCUUUGGCUCAAAACAAAGAAGCAGUAGCCUGACUGCUAUGUUCAAAUGACAUUUGUUCAAAGCAGUCGUUUAAUUGCAUUAUAGGCUCUUUUUUUGUAUCGUCCUGUUUUGAUCAGUAUAUGCCAAUGUUGUUAUCAAUAAAAAAUCAUUUGCACAAGACAAGCCGAUGCACUUCACCAUGUUGAUAAGAGAAUUAAAAUGAGAAGAAUUAUGGGACAAACAAAUCAAGGGAUAUUUAGCAUAGAAAAAUAAUUUGUGAUUAAUCGUGAGUUAACUAUGACAUUAAUGCGAUUAAUCACGAUUAAAUAUUUUAAUCGCUUGACAGCUCUAAUAUAUAUAUAUUAGGGCUGUCAAGCGAUUAAAAUAUUUAAUCGCAUUACAGUUUUUCUCAGUCACUUUGGUACAUUACUCAGAUCAGAAUUGAAAUUUGCAAAGCAGUAAGUGCAUUUCUCAAAACAAUGCGUUCAAAUAGCAAAACACCAUGGAUUAACUGCAAAAGCCAGUCUCUUGCUCAAAAUCCUUAGUUCAUCUCUCAAAAGUAAAUAUCUGUUUCAAUGAACAUGUCAGUGCCAUCAGAAUGACAAGUCCUUGUGUCAUUGUCUACGGAUAAGACAGUCAAAUUGCUUAGUCAUGUUGUCAAUAUAACAGUGUACUCUGGAGGGGUGUUCUGAUGUAAACUAUGGCUAAAGUUUUGAAGACAAUUAUUGUAAAUUGUAAGUUACACCUUAGUGUAUGUGGGAGAGACUGGACAAGAUUCACAUUUACGCUUUGACUGUUUGUACUGUAAUUUGUUGACAGACCAUCUCAUUGCUAGAAAUGUGAACAUAGGAAAAUCUCCUUAGGGUAAAUUGUAC